rnacentral:rRNA from 1 species
GAUGAACGCUAGCGGCAGGCCUAACACAUGCAAGUCGAGGGGCAGCACAGAAACAGCAAUGUUUUGGUGGCGACCGGCGGACGGGUGCGUAACGCGUAUGCAACCUACCUUUAACAGGGGGAUAACGGAGAGAAAUUUCCACUAAUGCCCCAUAACAUCGAUCAAGGCAUCUUGAUUGGUUGAAACCUCCGGUGGUUAAAGAUGGGCAUGCGUUGUAUUAGGUAGUUGGUGAGGUAAUGGCUCACCAAGCCUACGAUACAUAGGGGGACUGAGAGGUUAGCCCCCCACACUAGUACUGAGACACGGACCAGACUCCUACGGGAGGCAGCAGUGAGGAAUAUUGGUCAAUGGGGGCAACCCUGAACCAGCCAUGCCGCGUGCAGGAAGACGGCUCUAUGAGUUGUAAACUGCUUUUAAACAGGGAUAAAGCACAGUAUGUAUACUGUGUUGAAGGUACUGUAAGAAUAAGGAUCGGCUAACUCCGUGCCAGCCGCCGCCGUAA